UAGGGAAUCUUCGGCAAUGGGGGGAACCCUGACCGAGCAACGCCGCGUGAGUGAAGAAGGUUUUCGGAUCGUAAAGCUCUGUUGUUAAGGAAGAACGAGUGUGAGAAUGGAAAGUUCAUGCUGUGACGGUACUUAACCAGAAAGGGACGGCUAACUACGUGCCAGCAGCCGCGGUAAUACGUAGGUCCCGAGCGUUGUCCGGAUUUAUUGGGCGUAAAGCGAGCGCAGGCGGUUAGAAAAGUCUGAAGUGAAAGGCAGUGGCUCAACCAUUGUAGGCUUUGGAAACUGUUUAACUUGAGUGCAGAAAGGGAGAGUGAAAUUCCAUGUGUAGCGGUGAAAUGCGUAGAUAUAUGGAGGAACACCGGUGGCGAAAGCGGCUCUCUGGUCUGUAGCUGACGCUGAGGCUCGAAAGCGUGGGGAGCGAACAGG
rnacentral:rRNA from 1 species